rnacentral:rRNA from 1 species
AACGAACGCUGGCGGCAUGCCUAACACAUGCAAGUCGAACGAGACCUUCGGGUCUAGUGGCGCACGGGUGCGUGACGCGUGGGAACCUGCCCUUAGGUUCGGAAUAACUCCCCGAAAGGGGUGCUAAUACCGGAUAAUGUCUUCGGACCAAAGAUUUAUCGCCUUUGGAUGGGCCCGCGUUGGAUUAGCUAGUUGGUAGGGUAAAAGCUUACCAAGGCGACGAUCCAUAGCUGGUCUGAGAGGAUGAUCAGCCACACUGGGACUGAGACACGGCCCAGACUCCUACGGGAGGCAGCAGUGGGGAAUAUUGGACAAUGGGCGAAAGCCUGAUCCAGCAAUGCCGCGUGAGUGAUGAAGGCCUUAGGGUUGUAAAGCUCUUUUACCCGGGAUGAUAAUGACAGUACCGGGAGAAUAAGCUCCGGCUAACUCCGUG